CCUACGGGUGGCUGCAGUGAGGAAUAUUGGUCAAUGGACGCAAGUCUGAACCAGCCAUGCCGCGUGCAGGAAGACGGCUCUAUGAGUUGUACACUUCUUUUGUCAGGGAGCAAUUGGGUCCACGCGUGUGCUUAGCGAGAGUACCUGAAGAAAAAGCAUCGGCUAACUCCGUGCCAGCAGCCGCGGUAAUACGGAGGAUGCGAGCGUUAUCCGGAUUUAUUGGGUUUAAAGGGUGCGUAGGCGGAAUAUCAAGUCAGCGGUAAAAAUUCGGGGCUCAACCCCGUCGUGCCGUUGAAACUGAUGUUCUUGAGUGGGCGAGAAGUAUGCGGAAUGCGUGGUGUAGCGGUGAAAUGCAUAGAUAUCACGCAGAACUCCGAUUGCGAAGGCAGCAUACCGGAGCCCAACUGACGCUGAAGCACGAAAGCGUGGGUAUCGAACAGGAUUAGAUACCCCUGUAGUC
rnacentral:rRNA from 1 species